rnacentral:rRNA from 1 species
GAUGAACGCUGGCGGCGUGCCUAAUACAUGCAAGUCGAGCGAACGGACGAGAAGCUUGCUUCUCUGAUGUUAGCGGCGGACGGGUGAGUAACACGUGGAUAACCUACCUAUAAGACUGGGAUAACUUCGGGAAACCGGAGCUAAUACCGGAUAAUAUUUUGAACCGCAUGGUUCAAAAGUGAAAGACGGUCUUGCUGUCACUUAUAGAUGGUUCCGCGCUGCAUUAGCUAGUUGGUAAGGUAACGGCUUACCAAGGCAACGAUGCAUAGCCGACCUGAUAGGGUGAUCGGCCACACUGGAACUGAGACACGGUCCAGACUCCUACGGGAGGCAGCAGUAGGGAAUCUUCCGCAAUGGGCGAAAGCCUGACGGAGCAACGCCGCGUGAGUGAUGAAGGUCUUCGGAUCGUAAAACUCUGUUAUUAGGGAAGAACAUAUGUGUAAGUAACUGUGCACAUCUUGACGGUACCUAAUCAGAAAGCCACGGCUAACUACGUG